UUAGGAGAUUGACCUGGGUCAAUUCUUUUUUCUUUUUGUCCCCUUUCCUCAGAUGUUCUGAAGGUUGGAAAUAUGACUUACUACCAUUACCUAACAGUUAUUUCUUCUUCUUUCCUAGUUAAUACAACCUGAUUUCAUUUGGGCCACAACAUGUACAAAGAAGGAAUACCUGUCCCCAGGCCUCAGAGAAAAGUCAUGAUUGAUUGAAGCUUAGCCCGUUCCCCUGCUAGAGAUUGCUUCUGAACUCAGCAUGUGGCCAAUUAUGGCCAAUGAGAUGGAAGAGUCUGGAAGCAGGCUUUUGGAAAGAUUCUUGUAGCCUAGUUAAAGAUAAAAUCCCGGAAAGGGAAAAGCCUUGUGUUGACAAGCUUAAGAGUGAAAAACCAACGUGUUGAGGAGGAGGAUUAGGAAGACAUAAAGAGGCCGGGUUCUUAAUGACAUCCUUGAGCCACUGCAGCUAAAAAGGAAACUUCUUUCUCCAGGAUUCUUAUGUCAGAUUUUCAAAUGUCUUCAUGGCUUAAACCAGAUUUAUGCAUUCUGUUACCUGUAACUUCAUGUGUUCCCAGUGAAAACAGUACCUUGUAGAGUUGCUUGAGAAUCAAGACAGGCACUGAAAGUAAUGCGUCAAGCAUACAACAAGUUUCUAUCUUAUAAGCACUACCCAACAUCUUUUUCUCCUUUCUUCCCUGGUUUAUAAAACUUGAUUUUAUUUGGGCAGCCACAAGCACAAGGAAGGAGGACCUUGUUUCCAGGCCUCAGAGAAGAACCCAAAUAGGUCUCAGCAUCUCUCAGUAUACCUUAGUCCUUUUAGUUCCCUUUCCUUUUCCUUCUCCCAGCCAGCUGUCAUCCCUAAAUUCUUCUGUGGUCCAUGUUUCUCAACAUCCAUUUAAUCAUCAAACUCUUAGAUUUGAUUCCUAAUUAACCUUUCCUUUCUCCUUUCGUUGCAGCCGCCAUAGUCAAGACCCGUUCAUUUGUAGCUUAGAUUACUGCUCUUCUCAGCUCUUUGCUGCCUAGUUCAUACCCCCUCACCUCAUUCUCUGUAUAUCUACCAGACUAAGCUACUAAAAUGGCCAAGCUGAGCAUGUCACUCCUCUGCUUAAAAGUUUCACUAGGAUGGGCGCAGUGGCUCACACCUGUAAUCCCAGAAAUUUGGGAG
rnacentral:lncRNA from 10 species